GAUGAACGCUGGCGGCGUGCCUAAUACAUGCAAGUCGAGCGAACGGACGAGAAGCUUGCUUCUCUGAUGUUAGCGGCGGACGGGUGAGUAACACGUGGAUAACCGACCUAUAAGACUGGGAUAACGUCGGGAAACCGGAGCUAAUACCGGAUGAUAUUUUGAACCGCAUGGUUCAAAAGUGAAAGACGGUCUUGCUGUCACUUAUAGAUGGAUCCGCGCUGCAUUAGCUAGUUGGUAAGGUAACGGCUUACCAAGGCAACGAUGCAUAGCCGACCUGAGAGGGUGAUCGGCCACACUGGAACUGAGACACGGUCCAGACUCCUACGGGAGGCAGCAGUAGGGAAUCUUCCGCAAUGGGCGAAAGCCUGACGGAGCAACGCCGCGUGAGUGAUGAAGGUCUUCGGAUCGUAAAACUCUGUUAUUAGGGAAGAACAUAUGUGUAAGUAACUGUGCACAUCUUGACGGUACCUAAUCAGAAAGCCACGGCUAACUACGUG
rnacentral:rRNA from 1 species